UACGUAGGCAGCGAGCGUUGUUCGGAAUUACUGGGCGUAAAGAGUGUGUAGGCGGUGCUCUAAGUUCGGUGUGAAAUCUCCCUGGCUCAACUGGGAGGGUGCGCCGGAAACUGGGGUGCUGGAGCGCGGGAGAGGAAAGCGGAAUUCCUGGUGUAGCGGUGAAAUGCGUAGAUAUCAGGAGGAACACCGGCAGUGUAGACGGCUUUCUGGACCGUAGCUGACGCUGGGACACGAAAGCGUGGGUAGCAAACAGG
rnacentral:rRNA from 1 species